rnacentral:rRNA from 1 species
UACGUAGGGUGCGAGCGUUGUCCGGAAUUAUUGGGCGUAAAGGGCUCGUAGGCGGUCUGUUGCGUCGGGGAGUGAAAACUCAGGGCUUAACCCUGAGCCUGCUUCCGAUACGGGCAGACUAGAGGUAUGCAGGGGAGAACGGAAUUCCUGGUGUAGCGGUGAAAUGCGCAGAUAUCAGGAGGAACACCAGUGGCGAAGGCGGCGACCUGGGCCAAUAUUGACGCUGGAGGUGCGAAAGCGUGGGGAGCAAACAGG